rnacentral:rRNA from 1 species
GACGAACGCUGGCGGCGUGCCUAAUACAUGCAAGUAGAACGCACAGUAUAUACCGUAGCUUGCUACACCAUAGACUGUGAGUUGCGAACGGGUGAGUAACGCGUAGGUAACCUGCCUGGUAGCGGGGGAUAACUAUUGGAAACGAUAGCUAAUACCGCAUAAUAUUAAUUAUUGCAUGAUAAUUGAUUGAAAGAUGCAACUGCAUCACUACCAGAUGGACCUGCGUUGUAUUAGCUAGUAGGUGAGGUAACGGCUCACCUAGGCGACGAUACAUAGCCGACCUGAGAGGGUGAUCGGCCACACUGGGACUGAGACACGGCCCAGACUCCUACGGGAGGCAGCAGUAGGGAAUCUUCGGCAAUGGACGAAAGUCUGACCGAGCAACGCCGCGUGAGUGAAGAAGGUUUUCGGAUCGUAAAGCUCUGUUGUAAGAGAAGAACGGGUGUGAGAGUGGAAAGUUCACACUGUGACGGUAUCUUACCAGAAAGGGACGGCUAACUACGUGCCAGCAGCCGCGGUAAUACGUAGGUCCCGAGCGUUGUCCGGAUUUAUUGGGCGUAAAGCGAGCGCAGGCGGUUAGAUAAGUCUGAAGUUAAAGGCUGUGGCUUAACCAUAGUACGCUUUGGAAACUGUUUAACUUGAGUGCAGAAGGGGAGAGUGGAAUUCCAUGUGUAGCGGUGAAAUGCGUAGAUAUAUGGAGGAACACCGGUGGCGAAGGCGGCUCUCUGGUCUGUAACUGACGCUGAGGCUCGAAAGCGUGGGGAGCGAACAGG